GAUGAACGCUGGCGGCGCGCCUAACACAUGCAAGUCGAACGGUUAAAGCACCUUUUAGGUGUGUAUAAAGUGGCGAACGGCUGAGUAACACGUGGGCAACCUGCCCUCCUCUUGGGGAUAGCCUCGGGAAACCGAGGAUAAUACCCGAUACUUCAAUGUGGCCGCAUGACGACAUUGAGAAAGCUUUUGCGGAGAAGGAUGGGCCCGCGGCCUGUUAGCUUGUUGGUGGGGUAGAGGCCUACCAAGGCAAUGAUGGGUAGCUGGGUUGAGAGACCGACCAGCCAGAUUGGGACUGAGACACGGCCCAGACUCCUACGGGAGGCAGCAGUGGGGAAUCUUGCACAAUGGGCGAAAGCCUGAUGCAGCGACGCCGCGUGCGGGACGAAGGCCUUUCGGGUUGUAAACCGCUUUCAGCAGGGACGAGGCGAAAGUGACGGUACCUGCAGAAGAAGCCCCGCUAAUAC
rnacentral:rRNA from 2 species